GAAACAGGUGCUAAUACCGUAUAACACUAUUUUCCGCAUGGAAGAAAGUUGAAAGGCGCUUUUGCGUCACUGAUGGAUGGACCCGCGGUGCAUUAGCUAGUUGGUGAGGUAACGGCUCACCAAGGCAACGAUGCAUAGCCGACCUGAGAGGGUGAUCGGCCACACUGGGACUGAGACACGGCCCAGACUCCUACGGGAGGCAGCAGUAGGGAAUCUUCGGCAAUGGACGAAAGUCUGACCGAGCAACGCCGCGUGAGUGAAGAAGGUUUUCGGAUCGUAAAACUCUGUUGUUAGAGAAGAACAAGGAUGAGAGUAGAACGUUCAUCCCUUGACGGUAUCUAACCAGAAAGCCACGGCUAACUACGUGCCAGCAGCCGCGGUAAUACGUAGGUGGCAAGCGUUGUCCGGAUUUAUUGGGCGUAAAGCGAGCGCAGGCGGUUUCUUAAGUCUGAUGUGAAAGCCCCCGGCUCAACCGGGGAGGGUCAUUGGAAACUGGGAG
rnacentral:rRNA from 1 species